CGUCCCCAUCACAGGUUCCGUCACUAUGUGGGUUUUACCUUCCGGAAUUGAUAUGGAUGAUGAAAAACCACUCAAUUUGGCCCUGUAGUCUUCAUCCAGCAGGAUAUUUACGGAUUUGAUAUCUCUAUGAACAAUAGGCCUUGGGAAUGCAGUGUGAAGAUAAGCAAUCACAUUAGCCACAUCAACUGCAAUCUUCAACCUAUUCUUCCAUGAUAAAGGUCGCAAAUCGGCUCCUUGUUUAUAUUUUAAAAUGUAAUGAUCAAGAAUUCCCAUCUCCGCAUGUUCAA
rnacentral:misc_RNA from 1 species